CUGGCCGUGGUGGCAUGCACCUGUAGUCUCAGUUACUUGGGAGUCUGAGGUGGGAGGAUCACCUGAGACUGGGAGGUCAAGACUGCAAUGAGCCGUGAUCACGCCACUGCUCUACAGGCCGGGCAACAGAGUGAGACUGUUUGUUUAAAAAAGAAAAAAAAAAAGCAGCAGCAGCCCACAGAUAUUUACAGUAUACUUUAUUCAAAGCAUUUCAGUUAAAAUUAUUUUGGGUUCAAAUACAUGAACAUAUAAUUAUAUAUAAAAUACUAUAGUUCUCAAUAGUUUACAGUGACAUCUUUUUUAGAAUUAGCUGCUUAUAAUUUGAGUGUAAAUGUAUUACAGAAAGCUGCUAAAUUGUUUAUAUUUCUACUUAUUUCAAUUUAGCUAUUAGAUAUUUAGAACACUCAUAAGCCCACCUACAGUAUAGUUAUUAUACUUUAAAUAUUUAUAUUCAAUAGGGGAAUCAAUACAAUACAAAAGAUAUUUGAACAGCUAGUCCUUUGUAACACCCCCCCGCUGCUGCCGAGAGGGCUAGA
rnacentral:lncRNA from 10 species